rnacentral:rRNA from 1 species
CAGCAGCCACGGGAAUACGGAGGGAGCUAGCGUUGUUCGGAAUUACUGGGCGUAAAGCGCACGUAGGCGGUUAUUCAAGUCAGAGGUGAAAGCCCGGGGCUCAACCCCGGAACUGCCUUUGAAACUAGAUGACUGGAAUCUUGGAGAGGUCAGUGGAAUUCCGAGUGUAGAGGUGAAAUUCGUAGAUAUUCGGAAGAACACCAGUGGCGAAGGCGGCUCACUGGACUGGUAUUGACGCUGAGGUGCGAAAGCGUGGGGAGCAAACAGGAUUAGAUACCCCUGUAGUCCCUGUCUCUUAUAC